AGGUGAACCACUGCUUAACAGAAUGCUGUUAAAACCAGUUUGAGGUGAACCACUGCUUAACAGAAUGCUGUUAAAACCAGUUUGAGGUGAACCACUGCUUAACAGAAUGCUGUUAAAACCAGUUUGAGGUGAACCACUGCUUAACAGAAUGCUGUUAAAACCAGUUUGAGGUGAACCACUGCUUAACAGAACACUGUUAAAACCAGUUUGAGGUGAACCACUGCUUAACAGAAUGCUGUUAAAACCAGUUUGAGGUGAACCACUGCUUAACAGAAUGCUGUUAAACCAGUUUGAGGUGAACCACUGCUUAACAAAACGCUGUUAAACCAGUUUGAGGUGAACCACUGCUUAACAGAACGCUGUUAAACCAGUUUGAGGUGAACCACUGCUUAACAGAAUGCUGUUAAACCAGUUUGAGGUGAACCACUGCUUAACAGAAUGCUGUUAAACCAGUUUGAGGUGAACCACUGCUUAACAGAACACUGUUAAAACCAGUUUGAGGUGAACCACUGCUUAACAGAAUGCUGUUAAACCAGUUUGAGGUGAACCACUGCUUAACAGUAAAUAAAAUGCAGUAGUGCAAAAAUUCAAAGAUACCCCCCCCCCCUUUCCAUAGCCCUCCCUGAUUCAUCCACAAGGUGAAGUGGGGGGGUCUUAUUGCCCCUUCAGAGAGUGUGUGUGAGAGCCAUAGUCCUACACAUUAU